GGCCCAGAGGCUGCUAUGCACUGAAUUCUCAGAUUCCGUCUAUUGAGUUCAUACAUAUUAGUCAGCAGCUGUAAUGCUAGUAACAUUAUCUCCACACAGCACCUCACACUUUACAAAACUCCCACAGAUACUUUCUCUCGUCUACUUCUUACCACCACUCUGAGAAGUCAACAGGAAAAGGAUCAUGCUUUGUGUGGAGGAUAAAGAUGGAAGUUUUACUCCAGAUACUAGAAGCACCUCAGAGGCUCAAAGUUUAGCAAGUUAUGAAGAGGAUGGGCUGCCGUUUGACAAGGAUGAAGCCUUCCAGCUACUAAGCACUGUGAGAUCUGGUCGAGCACAAAGAGAAAUGGAAAGAAAACUUCAAAUGCCAUGUCAACGGUGAAUAUCACUGGCUUCGUGCUCUCAUAUUCUCCAUGGGGCCUAGUGUAGUGUGGAAAACACUGAAGGUGCAUAGGCAUCAGAUGAGCGAUGCGAAUCGUUUAAUGAUAUUAUUGCAUAAAAUAGUUUAUACUUUUCAAGCAUCUUCACAAUAUGAUGUUCUUCCUUUUCUAGAGAAAAUAUUGUUACCGGUCCUAAAAAAAUACUUCUGGCAGUGAGAGUGAACCUAUCUUUGAUUUGCUUUAGUGGUACUUUUCAGCCCUUCUGAAUAGACAAGAACAGUUUCAAAAAUUCAAGACUUGGAUAUUAAGUCACAUAUAAUAGCAGAAAAAGACUGAAGCAGUUUUGAGUUUCAGAAUACUAAAUGUGAGUCUUUCUAAAAUGGAUCAGAAAAAAAAAUGUGACUUUCAGACCCCCUGACUUCAUCCUACCUACAAUUGAAGAGCAGCGUCACAGUCUUGACAUCUGACCUGUUUCCCUGGUGCUUCCACACUCAGACAGGUGUCUAGGAGAGGCAUCAGUAACUGGAUUUCUAUCUCUACAGACAUAUUUCACAAAGGCUCUAUCUCCUAACUCUGACUUUCAAUUUAGCUUGUUUUAUAGGCCUUAAAAGGCUGCUUCUGAAAUGAUCGUUUUAUCUUUUUCUCUGUUAAUUUAAAUCCUGGAAAAAAAAUUCAGUCUGACUAGCUUCACAAAGGCUGCUGAGCUGUUGUGAAGAAUAGGGUUCUGCUGACUUAAAAAAAAAUCUGAGCUCAUAAUCUUCUUUAGAAAUAGAUAGGAACAUCAAACUGAUCUACCAUGGAAUCGUGGAGUUUAAUGAUUCGGGUGUUUCUAAAUUCAAUAAGGAACCAUUUAAGAGACGUGGAACUGGCUUCAUCCCACACCUUUAUUUCCUCUGACAUUGCCUACGCUCUGUUUCAGAAGGAGCAAAAGAGAUGAAUAAUUACUGGCAGAUUAACCUUAGUAAUUACUGUUUCUUUGAUACCUUUGUUAACCCUUGAAAUCUCUGGGCAUUUCCUGAGGGCACAACUCUAUACUUGCAAGUAUGGAAAAGCCAUAGCCGUUUUCUUUGUUGUAUGCCGAUCUUCUUCGGCCUUGUAAAUUUGCACCAAUUAAGAAUAUUAUUUGCAGUCUUAUUUUUAAUCAUGAUAACAUAAUUAUAAGAAUUUUUAUCUAGUAUAUUAGCGAUCCCUGUGGAAAACAGAGGCCCAGAGAGGUCCAGAGAUACACUGAGGCCUUAUCUCAAGUCAGAGGCAUCCCUGAAGCAGACUGCGAUGGGUUCAGAGUUUGAGGUUCUCUGCAUUGAAUGUGCUGCCUACUGUUGCCCUAGGUACUUUCAGACGAUUUCACAUAGAGGUUUGGCUCUUUUCGUUGCAUACCAGAAUGUCAGCCACAUUUUCUAUAUUUAUUUAUCCUUCAUCCCUGGCCUUAUCACCAGAGUUUGUAGACAAAAUCUGAUACACCUGUCUCCUACCUUUCCGGAUUGUGCCAGGCUGCCCUGUAUUGUCUGAUCCUCAGGCUAUCCUGUGAUCAGCUUCUAAGAUUUUUUCCCUUCUCUGCUCUCUGCUUGGCUAAGACAUUUCCUCAGGUCUCAAGCUUCUCUUGGGCUUUUACGCAAUGUUGCGUUUCCUCUAUUGAUGAAUUACUGUAAAGCUGCCAACAAAACUCUGCCCCUCCACAAAGAAUGCCAUUCCCAUCUCUAGACAUCUCUGGGAUAUGACAUCUGCUUUUCAAUAGUGUAUGCCAGGCCCUAGCUAGGUGCCUUGCUGAAGCCAGUGAAUUGGUUAAACACAAGAUGUGGUUCAGUUAUUUUCAGAUAAAAAAUUCUCAUUCUGGAAACAGGUUUAUUCUGCUGCAUUCAACAUCAAGUGAGAAAAGUUACCCUGCUUUCAAUAAAGUAAUGUGGCAAUAGCAUAGGUGAAUUCAAUAUUUAAGGAACAAACUGCAGGCCAAGUCAAUUCUUUCUAGGUCGGGUCCAAACAAUACUAUGGAGUGCCUGGUAAAUGCUGGACACUGUGCUUCCUGCCUGCUUGCACUCACCACUGUCUUAUUUUAGACUCCACAAAAACUUUGGAAGCAACAGGAUAUAACCUAGGUCUCUUCAACUAUAAAUCUUUAUAUGUUCUACCAUAUAUAAUAAAUUAUCUUUGUGCCUCUUUCCAGCUGUAAGCAGGAGUGAGGGGUGGGAGCAGUUUCAGGGAUCUCAGUACAGAUCAUAUCCAACACUUAGUUGUGGUUUGGCACUACCUGGUGGCAAGUUUCCUGCUCCCACUCUAAUGUCCAUAAGGGAUUCUAGGCUCAGUGAUUGGCUGAAACUUCUAGACACCUAACAAGCUGGUAGGUAUCUCACCAGCUUGACCCAAGGAGAUUGGGCCUGUAGAACUCUGGGGACUCCAGGACCCAAUUUUUUUCUCCCCACUUACUGAGGAGGGGUUGCGUGACAUUUCCUGCUCAGCCUUAUCUUGCCAUCCAUGAACUCCCCAAGCCCCUCAACACCCACAAUCAGCAAAAUAACAACAAUAGGUGGAAGACUGGGGCCAAUAGUCAAUUGUCUUGAAUGGAGGUGGGGAAGGGGAUAACCGUAUUUAUAGCAAUGUAAUAUUAUGUCUAAGAGUUUAGCUUCACCGAUGGAACCCCAUGAUUACUUAUACUUAGUCGAAUGUGUUUACAUACAUUUAGUUGAAAUCUAGCAACAUAUCUAAGAACUAGUGAAGAAAGCAUACAGUAAUAGCAGUAAUAAUAUAUGAAGAGAAAAUAUUGUAUUGAAAAAAUUUUUCAAAAGAAAAUAACUUGACAUUGGAAAGUGGGGAAUAGUCCAUAAAAGAAAAAAAUCAUUGUUAUAAUGAUUACUAAACAUAAAAAUUAACCAAGUGUACAUGUGAAAGCCACCAUACACAAACUGAAUAAAAAGGUAUGAGUCUUUUGCUUCUUGUGCACUUGUGAUUUUUCAGGGGGGUGGGGAUAUAACCCAGAUGAGAUAAGCAUGAGUAACAAGCAGGUAAAUCACAUCUCCUAAAACUGAAGACCUGGAACAACUGAAAUACUGAAGCAGACAGUAUAUUACCCUACACUGGAUUUCUGCUCAUGAGCUUAUGAAGGCUCUGGAUUCCUGCUUAUGAGCUACCUAAUGAACUCUGGAAAUUUAUGCAAGUUAAUUUCUCUAAACCUCAAUUUGCAUAUCUAUAUAUGGGCCAUAAUAAUAUCCAUCUCAUUGGUUGUUACCAAUGAUUUAAUGAAAGAAUAUAAAUAAAGAACUCAGUAUAGUACCUGACAAAUAGUAAAUGUAGUUAUACAAUCAGCUAUUGUUAUUGAUCUUAAUAUUAUCAACUCAUUCCAAAAUAGUGCUUGGAAAAUUGGUAUUAGUGUCUCCAGAAAGAGCUUAAUUGCCUCUGACACAGUCUAUGUUGCAAUAUAACUUCGCCUGAACUGGACAGCAAGGAAGAAGCCAGCAAGGAAGGCUCUAUUUUCCUCCAGAAGUGGGUAUCAAAGACUAAAUUUCAUCCUCUCAUUUUUGUAGAGAAGCUUUAGUAAAUAUAAAUGUAAGUCUAGGUAACGCCAUAGAGAUCCAUUUGUUUAUGUUGGAAAUGUGCGUAUGUCCUGCUGCAGACUAGACCACACUCAUUUUUACUCUUUAAAAAAAUCAUUCAAGUCUUGUUAAAAUUCUUUCUAUUAAACUGCUGACAACUGUACUUCUUGUUAGUAUGGUUUCCAUUUGUACACAUUUCCCCCUGUGUCUCUACAUUAUAAACCUAAUAAUGUAUUAUUUUAGAAAGAGCCUAACAUGAUAAUUCUUACACUUUUUUGGAAUCACUGACCCCGGGGGGUCCACUCAGAAUAAUAUAUAUAAAAGCUAUAGGUUUAAAACAAUUUCUGAAUUGAAUUAAAUCUCUAAGGUUAAUGCCAGCAAGGCAUUUGAAGGGAAAGUGCUGCUCAUAACUGCUCCAUCUAGCAUUUCUGUUAAUGAAAAGACAUUACCUUCUGGUAGUAAUGGAGCCACUUAAUCCUCAGUGUAGAACUUGGUAAGAGUGGUACUCAAAACGGUUACCAGUUAGUUCUGCAGGGUCAUCAAUCAGAAUGAAUGCCUUGUGAUCAAGCAAGUUUCUAGAGGCCCCCACUUAUUCUAGGAGUGGACCCACUUUAUUGCUGGGCUGUGGAGCGGGCACUCCUGGCAGAGGUUGUGGUGGUAGUAGGAGGAUCUUCGAACAGUAGAAUAUGGAUAUAUUGUAAUAUUUUAACAAGCAUGACAGCUAAAUAUCAGCCUUAUGUUUACAUAUAAUAACAAAGAAAUAAUUUCAUGCCGAAAAUCAACUCAAGAUACUCUCACAGGUUGGGCAUGGUGGUUCAUGUUUGUAAUCCCAGCACUUUGGGAGGCUGAGGCAGGAGGAUCAGUGGAGCCCAGAAAUUUGAGACCAGCCUGGGCACCAUAGUGAGACCCUAUCACUAUAUUUUUAAUUUUUAAAAAAUUUGCCAGAUGUGGUGGCACACAGCUGUAGCCCUAGCUACUUGAAAGGCUGAGGCAGGAGAAUUGCUUGAGUUCAGGACUUCAACGUUACAGCGAGCUAUGACUGCAUCGCUGUAUUCCAGCUGGGUGACACAGGGAGACCCUCUUUCUCAUCAUAUAUACGUAAUCUCUCUCAAAUCUGAAAAUGUGAGGAAAAAGAAUUUCUAAUUCUAAAACUUUGGGCACCACCUUAAUACAUGGGUGAAAAAGACAAAUAAUACUUUUAUUUUUGCCUUCACUUUUGGUUACCUAAUUUAGUUAUUUCAUCACGCUAUAGACUUUCUUUGAGCAUCUAUGAUUUCCUUGUAUUUUAUAGCACUUUUUAACAACAGGGGCAUAUAUAAGAAUCCAGGCCGGGCACAGCAGCUCACGCCUGUAAUCGCAGCACUUUAGGAGGCCGAGGUGGGUGAAUAACCAGGUCAGGAGACCGAGACCAUCCUGGCUAACACGGUGAAACCCCGUCUCUACUAAAAAUACAAAAAUAAUUAGCCAGGCGUGGUGGCGGGCGCCUGUAGUCCCAGCUACUCGGGAGGCUGAGGCAGGAGAAUGGCGCGAACCCGGGAGGCGGAGCUUGCUGUGAGCAGAGAUCGCGCCACUGCACUCCAGCCUGGGAGACAGAGCAAGAA